CACCGCUUGCUUGAGUUUGGCGAACAGCUCGCCUUCAGCGCGGGUGAUUUCCGGCAGUGCAGCCUUGCCGGUGGCAA
rnacentral:tRNA from 1 species